rnacentral:lncRNA from 1 species
GACAACCUGAUUGGGGCCCCUUCCACAGCGUGGAAGGUUUGUUCUUUCGCUCUUUGCAAUAAAUCUUGCUACUGCUCACUCUUUGGGUCCACGCUGCUUUUAUGAGCUGUAACACUCACUGUGAAGGUCUGCAGCUUCACUCCUGAGCCCAGCAAGACCAUGAGCCCACCGGGAGGAACGAACAACUCCAGACGCGCUACUUUAGGAGCUGUAACACCCACCGCGAAGGUCUGCAGCUUCACUCCUGAGCCAGCGAGACCAGGAACCCACCAGAAGGAAGAAACUCCGAACACAUCUGAACAUCAGAAGGGACAGACUCCAGACGUGCCACCUUAAGAGCUGUAACACUCACCGCGAGGGUCCGCGGCUUCAUUCUUGAAGUCAGUGAGACCAAGAACCCACCAAUUCCGGACACAUUGGGACCCAGAUUUCUAAGGAGGGGCACAGACUGUUGGUGUUGUCUAUGAGCAGGGCAUGUCGAGAUUAGUUCUUACUCUCUUACUUUUUUUUUUUUUUUUGAGAGGGAGUUUUGCUCUGUCGCCACGCUGGAGUGCAGUGGUGCAAUCUCGGCUCACUGCAACCUGCGCCUCCCGGGUGCAAGUGAUUCCCCUGCCUCAGCCUCCCGAGUGGCUGGGACUACAGGCACGUGCCACCACACCCAGCUAAUUUUUUGUAUUUUAGUAGAGACGGGGUUUCACCAUGUUGGCCAGGAUGGUCUCCAUCUCCUGACCCCGUGAUCUGCCCACCUCGUCCUCCCGAAGUGUUGGGAUUACAGGCCUGAGCCACCUCGCCCGGCAGAGAUUGGUUCUUUCAAGUGAUGGAAAAACUGUAAACUGGACUCACUCAAUUCUACAGGAAGGACUUGCUCUUUUCAGGGUAAAGAGGCAAGGCCGGGGUGGCGCUCAUAGGAACUACAAGCAGACAGGCAACCCACCUAGGAGCAAGUCCUUUUCUCCUUCAGCUUUGCAAUCCCCCUCUACAGACCCCUAUUGGCAGAAGCUAACACAAAGCCAGCAGACAAAACUGACUUGUGGUUUUCAGUGUCCUAUUGCUAGCAUCACGAAAUAAGGUAUAGAAGAGUGGGUUUGGGACCCGGCGCAAUGGCUCACUCUUGUAAUCCCAGAACUUUGGGAGGCAGAAGCGGGAGAUCACUUGAGGUCAGGAGUUCGAGACCAGCCUGGCCAACAUGGUAAAACCCUAUCUCGACUAAAAAUACAAAAAUUAGCUAGACAUGGUGGCAGGCGCCUGUAAUCCCAGCUACUCAGGAGGCUGAGGCAGGAGAAUUGCUUGAACCUGGGAGGCGGAGGUUGCAGUGAGCCGAGAUCCCGCCACUACACUCCAGCCUGGGUGAUAGAGCAAGAC